rnacentral:tRNA from 1 species
GAGGGUGUAGCUCAAGUGGUAGAGUGCAUGCUUAGCAUGCAUGACAUGCACAAGGUCCUGGGUUCAAUCCCUAGUACCUCCU